rnacentral:misc_RNA from 1 species
AAUGAAUAAAGAGACAUGAGAAGAUAGAGAAAUAUUAUUAUGAAUAUUAAAAACGUUCUAUACUUUUGUAAUAUUAUUCUAUGGAAUAGUUUUUUCAAGUUUAUAAUAUCAUUCGAAAAUAAUAAUUCCAAAAUUACUAAUAAGUUGACAUUAUUACUCUUUAAUAAUUCUCUUUCCGUGAAUGAUGAAAUAGAUAAUUUAUUUGUUAAAUCUUUGUGGUAUAUAUUCGAUUUAGAACAAUUUACAAGAAUGAAUUAUAUUCGCUUAUAUAUAAAAAAUUUUAGUAAGUAUUUAUCACGAAAAAAUAUUAGUUUUGUUAUAUUUCAGGAAAAUAAGGAAAAUAGUAAUUCGUCCCUUUUGUUUGUAAUAAUUUGUAGAUAACGAAACGAAUAACAUAAGUUAUCUCUUAAGCAUUCAAGAUAAAAUAUCAAAUCUUGACAAUUUAAUUGAUAAAAGAGCAAUUACACAAUUUUGUAACGUUAUAUCGAAUAUAGAUGAAAAAACUUUAAAUAAAUGCAAAUUGAGAAAAAAUAUCGGUCGAUAUUUAAUAAUCAACAGUUUAAAUAGUAGAUUAGAAAUUUCAUGUAUUAAAUUUUCUUCCGAAAGAGAGAACACUAAAGGUAAUUAAAAUUAGCAAUAUAAUUAUUUCUAUUUUUACACUAUAUAAUAUAUAUUUCUAAUUAUAUUAAUCCUUUUCAAGGAGGUGUUAUAAUUCAAACAAUUCUGUUGCAAAAUUUUGGUUCCUUAUGUAGACACUGUAAUUCCCCUAAUGCUAAAAUGGUUUUUGCCUUGCAUAGAAAUUUAACAACUAGGAAUUCUGUCUUACACGACAUUUUAUUUUUGUCACCUUUGAAAAACUCCUCACAAAGAGUCUUUUAUGAUAGAAAAUAUCAAAUAAAAAGUGUAAUUUCGAAAGAGUUACUAACACUUAAAUUUUCUUCCUGUAUCAUACCAAAACAAAAAGUAAAACUUUCAAUCUUAAAUAAAGCAACCAUUGAGGAAGAAAUUCAGAUAUUGAAAGAGAGAAUUUUACCAUUAAUAUUUAAUUUGCAUAUUACCUGCUCAAAUUUUACAUACUAUGAAUAUUCAUAUAAUAUGUUUGACUUGCAAAACAUGCAAAAUAUAAAUUCUUUAUUGAUUAUUUUCAAAGAGAAAAGUAAAAUCGAAAAUUUGGUAAUUUUUGUUAGUAAUAGAUCAAAGGUGGUGGGAGAAAAGGAAAUUAGAAAAUGCGUUCAGGUAAAAGAGUAUAGCGAUUUAUAUUUGCUUGUAAAUUGUGCUAAUAGCGUUAGAGGCAAAUACCUUUUUCUAAGAACUUCUCUUCCUCGAAAAUUUGUACCCCCAUGUAAAAUAGAAUGGUUCCCUUUUAAGUUUCAUUCUACUUUAUAUUUCAAUAAUACCACACAAUCUCAAAUGCGUGUUAUCAAUUCAAUAAAAUUAUUAAAUGUAAGAAAGAGAAGAAAAAGGACAAUCGAAUCGUCCUUAUUAAAACAUAAAACGGAAUCUUGUACUGAGAUAAUUGUAAAGAAUAAUCUUCAAGGGCAUUGGAGAAGUGGGACUGUACAUUGCCUAGAAACUAAUGAAAAUUUAAUAUCAGGUAGACCAUGUGUCAUUUUUGAUUUGUCAGACACAAGAAAUAUAGCCUCUUUAUCCAUUGUGACAAAAGAUUAUCCGGUUCCUAAAGUAAAUGUUGCCAUUUUCAAUAACUUUUCUUCUGACAUAAAUGAUAGUAUAAUUUGUCAACAAAUUUCGGAAAAAUCUAAAUCAGGCUUAUUCAACUGUGGCGAAAAUACGCUGGGCCGUUACGUCGUCCUUUUUACGGACGAUCCAUCAUUAGUUCUUUGUGAAAUGACGAUAAACAACAAAAUGUUUGAAAAGCCAAUACCAUUCUCCCUCGAAAAAGAUAAGAAAGCCAAAUCAUUUCUAGAAUCAAUAGGAAAAGCUGUUGAUAAAAUUCUAUUUUCAAGAGAGACUAUUCAUUCGAAGACAAACUUGAAAAAAGAGAAUUCAAUAAAGGCUAAAUAUAAUACGUCUAUUGCUGAUUAUUUUUCACUAGACGAACUAACUGAAGAUUUAUUAGAAUUAGGAAUAAAUAGAGCUAUGAAUAGGCCGUCCUAUCAGAAAGAUUUUACAAAAACUAAUCCAACCGAUCCAAAUUUGGCCAAUGAUGGUAUAGUUAACACUUGCACCUUUACAAAUUACGUUGAAAAAUCUUAUAAUUAUCCAUGGUGGAUGGUACAACUAGACGACGACACAAUAGUGGAAAAGGUUGUUUUAAUUAGUCAACGAAAUGAAAUAGCUCAUAUGUCAGCUUUCCUGCAUGCCAAAUGGCCUAUCAAUAAUAAUAAUAACCAUGUAGAAAAGGAUGAUAAUACUGUUCUAUGCUUUAGAGUUAAUUUGUGGAAAGGUGUUAAAUAUUCUAAAAGAUGCUAUAAUCCAAUCAUUACUCAAUAUUUAGUUGUUAAAACACUUCGCACGCAAUUAAUGAUUUGUGAAGUGCAAAUAUUUGGCAAAGAUGUUGAUACACAAAAUUUUAACAAAUAUAAAUUGCAGACAAUCUUAAGAAAGACGAUGAUUGUUAAUAUUACAACCACCUCAUUCCCAGGGAAAAUGUACACAUCAAGAAAUCUUGCUUUUGGUAAAAAAAUUUUUACUGGUGAAAACGUAUCAUACCAGUCUUCUGACACUGGCCCGCAGAAGGCUAUAGAUAAUCUACUAUUUACUUGUACAAACCUGGAGUUUCUAGAUUAUCUCUUUGCCUGGAUAGCUAUUGAUUUACAAAAGAAAAAAACUGUUGCUCAGAUAAGAAUAAAAAAUAUAGAUGUUAUUAGUAAUCAAUUUUCCGCUUUUAUGACUGACAUUGUUAAAUCAUUACUCGAUAAAAAAUUUUCAUUAAAUGGUGACGCCUGCUAUAAAGAAAGAAAAUCAAAUACUAGAGAAAUAGAGGGUAUUUGUAUUACACCAGUGUCAGGCGUUUAUGCCGUAUUAUUGUCCCAUACUCCUUUUCUAACUAUUUGUGAAGUAGCAGUGUUUCAGAAAGUAUUCCAAAGUAUAAAAAAAUAUUGAGUAAAUGUUAUCUAUUACUUAGGUUUAGUGAAAAGAUAAUAUUUAAACAGGAUAUAGGAGAGGGACAUUAUCCUUGAAUUUGUUACUAGGUCAUGAUGCAUUCCAGUCUAGUACAGUUGAUGGUCAAAAUGCUGGCUUGGCAAUUGACGGUUUUUUAAAUACUUGUAGUGUAACUGAAUAUGAUAUUAGCUCUUCAAGAAAAACAGGAGCUUGGUGGUUUGUAGAUAUUGGAAGGAUAGCUAGUAUUAAACGAAUAGAGUUAAGAAGCGAGCAGGGAUUUUCUCUUAGCAUAAUGGUAGGACUAAGCGAAUUAAAUCCACCGACGAAUAAUAUGUGGCCACGUUUUAAAGAUAUAAUUCAAUGUUACGUCAAACACAAUCUACAAGCUUUAAAAACUGUUGACCAAAUUUGUACUAAUGAUGCAGUAAAGGGUCGAUAUUUGAUUGUUACAACUACAAAUACUCAACUUGAAUUAUGCGAAGUGAAUGCUUUCGAAAUAGAUAAUAUACCAGAGGAUUUAAAUAGAACGAACAUAGAAAGAAAUGUAUUAUUCGGAGAGAGACUCAUUGAUAUGGACGAAAUGAGAUUAGUUACUCAUUUAACAGAUGGAAAUUAUGAUACGUGUUUAUUAACGAAUUCAAUGAGAUAUUUAAUCAACUUGGAGCGCGGUCUACCUGUUAAAACUAUAUUGUUCGUUACUAGAUCUUUAUUAACAAGUAAUGUAUAAUAUUUUUAAAAUGAUAAAUUACUAGUAUGGGAAUGUUUCUCUAUUCCAAGUAUUCUUUCAGAGAAAGAAGAGGAUAUCCGCCUCAGCACGUUCUCUGAUCUUCCAAUAAGCCUUAAUGAAACUAAUUUAAGAACUCAAACAAAAUGCAUACCUCACUCUAUAAAUGUUUUAGUGGACUCUAAUAAUUUCGUUUUAACAAAUAUAACUUGUGAGUUUACGCUGCAUGGCUAUUGGUUACUUAUUAAAUUUAACAGCGCAUAUAAUAAAGAAAUAUGUGAAAUACAAGCACAUUCGGAA